GACGCACUGCCUGAAUUCAAUAAAAGCCGCUGGGAUGUGAAGAUGUAAGCAGUCAAUUUCAAGAUGAUUUCCGUUAUUGUUGUUUUUGCCAUUGUGACCGUGUUGAGUGGCCAAAUCGAAAGUGCAUAUCAAAAUACAUUUGAAGCAACCAAAGGAUGUCUAAAGUACAACAGCCAUCAGGGAUAUAACUUCACACAUCCUUACUUUUCAACUGGUGCAUACAGAAAUGUUCGAAGAGGUCCUAACAACGCCACAGAGUUCAGGUUUGGAAUACUUGGAGAUCACGACGGUAUUCUUAGAUUGGCCCCAGUGCAGAAUCCCUACGACAGGACUCUAAUGCAUGAGAUUGUUCUAUCUGGCUGGGCCGGUACUAAGACCGACGUACGUCGCUAUGUUCGAACGAGCCCUUCAGAAAUGAUCAACUAUUCAAUGUUUAAGAUUCAGUCCAGUUAUGGACUGUUAUCGCAGUUUGAUCCGUUGAUGUUUACCC